AGUCGCAGGGUUGUACGAAACCCGAAGGCGCAACAAAAGUGAAUGAUCUUCGGAUCUAGGUGGGAUCAUGUGGUCACUUGUGACUACGUGCGCACCACCGGCCUGUCUCAUUCGUGACGUCGAAGAGGCGGAGCAAGAGCGUACGCGUUGGGACCCGAAAGAUGGUGAACUAUGCCUGAGCAGGAUGAAGCCAGAAGAAAUUCUGGUGGAGGUCCGCAGCGAUUCUGACGUGCAAAUCGAUCGUCAAACUUGGGUAUAGGGGCGAAAGACUAAUCGAACCAUC
rnacentral:rRNA from 1 species